CAAGGAAUGCUCACGAUCGGAAAUGUGUGUCCAAGCAACAAGUCUGAGAACGAGUGAAAUGCUUUUUCUCUCAAGGACAAGUUGUGAUGGGGAGCGAAAUUUAGUAGCGAAGUUCCUGAUGUCACACUGCCAAGAAAAGCUUCUAGUGAGAAAGUAACUGCCCGUACCGCAAACCGACACAGGUAGUUGAGGAGAGAAUCCUAAGGUGUGCGAGAGAACUCUCGUUAAGGAACUCGGCAAAAUGACCCCGUAACUUCGGGAGAAGGGGUGCUGACCGCAAGGUCAGCCGCAGUGAAUAGGCCCAAGCGACUGUUUAUCAAAAACACAGGUCUCUGCAAAAUCGAAAGAUGACGUAUAGGGGCUGACGCCUGCCCGGUGCUGGAAGGUUAAGAGGAGAGGUUAGCGCAAGCGAAGCUUUGAAUUGAAGCCCCAGUAAACGGCGGCCGUAACGAUAACGGUCCUAAGGUAGCGAAAUUCCUUGUCGGGUAAGUUCCGACCCGCACGAAAGGCGUAACGAUUUGGGCACUGUCUCAACGAGAGACUCGGUGAAAUUAUAGUACCAGUGAAGAUGCUGGUUACCCGCGACAGGACGGAAAGACCCCAUGAAGCUUUACUGCAGUUUGAUAUUGCGUGUUUGUAUCACAUGUACAGGAUAGGUAGGAGCCAAUGAUACCGGGACGCCAGUCUCGGAGGAGGCAACGGUGGGAUACUACCCUUGUGAUAUGACCACUCUAACCCGCUGCUCUUAGCGAGCAGGGAGACAGUGUCAGACGGGCAGUUUGACUGGGGCGGUCGCCUCCAAAAAUGUAACGGGGGCGCCCAAAGGUUCCCUCAGAAUGGUUGGAAAUCAUUCGUAGAGUGUAAAGGCAGAAGGGAGCUUGACUGCGAGACCUACAAGUCGAGCAGGGACGAAAGUCGGGCUUAGUGAUCCGGUGGUUCCGCAUGGAAGGGCCAUCGCUCAACGGAUAAAAGCUACCCUGGGGAUAACAGGCUAUCUCCCCCAAGAGUUCACAUCGACGGGGAGGUUUGGCACCUCGAUGUCGGCUCAUCGCAUCCUGGGGCUGUAGUCGGUCCCAAGGGUUGGGCUGUUCGCCCAUUAAAGCGGUACGCGAGCUGGGUUCAGAACGUCGUGAGACAGUUCGGUCCCUAUCCGUCGCGGGCGUUGGAAAUUUGAGAGGAGCUGUCCUUAGUACGAGAGGACCGGGAUGGACACACCGCUGGUGUACCAGUCGUUCUGCCAAGAGCAUCGCUGGGUAGCUAUGUGUGGACGGGAUAAACGCUGAAAGCAUCUAAGCGUGAAGCCCCCCUCAAGAUGAGAUUUCCCAUCACUUUAAGUGAGUAAGACCCCUGAGAGAUGAUCAGGUAGAUAGGUUGGGAGUGGAAGUACAGCGAUGUAUGGAGCGGACCAAUACUAAUCGGUCGAGGACUUAACA
rnacentral:rRNA from 1 species